rnacentral:rRNA from 1 species
GUGGGGAAUAUUGCGCAAUGGAGGCAACUCUGACGCAGCCAUGCCGCGUGCAGGAAGAAGGCGCUACGCGUUGUAAACUGCUUUUAACCGGGAAGAAACCCCAGGACGUGUCCUGGGUUGACGGUACCGGAGGAAUAAGCACCGGCUAACUUCGUGCCAGCAGCCGCGGUAAUACGAAGGGUGCAAGCGUUAUCCGGAUUCAUUGGGUUUAAAGGGUGCGUAGGCGGAGCGUUAAGUCAGUGGUGAAAUCCUGCAGCUUAACUGUAGACUUGCCAUUGAUACUGGCGCUCUUGAGUGCGCUUGAAGUGGGCGGAAUGUGCCGUGUAGCGGUGAAAUGCUUAGAUAUGGCACAGAACACCAAUUGCGAAGGCAGCUCACUAAGGCGAUACUGACGCUGAGGCACGAAAGCGUGGGGAUCGAACAGGAUUAGAUACCCCAGUAGUCC